rnacentral:rRNA from 1 species
UACGUAGGGCGCAAGCGUUAUCCGGAAUUAUUGGGCGUAAAGAGCUCGUAGGCGGUUUGUCGCGUCUGCCGUGAAAGUCCGGGGCUCAACUCCGGAUCUGCGGUGGGUACGGGCAGACUAGAGUGAUGUAGGGGAGACUGGAAUUCCUGGUGUAGCGGUGAAAUGCGCAGAUAUCAGGAGGAACACCGGUGGCGAAGGCGGGUCUCUGGGCAGUAACUGACGCUGAGGUGCGAAAGCGUGGGUAGCAAACAGG